CAGUGCAAUAUCAAAAGGGCAU
rnacentral:miRNA from 2 species